rnacentral:lncRNA from 1 species
UACCGGCCCGGCCCCCGCCCGGCGCGCGCCGCUCUGAUCGCGCCGGGCGGCCCCGGCGGCGCGCACGUCACGCGCGGCGGGCGCGCGCGCCUGCAGCCGUGCCCGCUCCCCGUCCCGCCCGUCCCGUCCUGCGCGCGGCUCCCGGAGCGGCCGGUACCGGCUCCGGGCGGGGGGAGGCGGGAAACCUGCCCGUGCCUGGGAACGGGCUGGGAACACUGCGAUGCCUAAGACAACACCUUUUAGGUAUUUAGGCCUUUGUUUUCUGCAGCUGUUGUUUGUUCAUGCCAUUCAUACCGAGGAACUCACUCAAGUUUGCAGGAAUUUUGUACGCAGUUUCAGAUUACAAUUCAUAUAAAACGAAGGCUCUAAACCAAAUACUCUCUCAAUAACUAAAUGAAACUUAUUAAUUUUAUAAAAGUCAAUCUUUUACUAAAAAACUCGAUUUUAACAAAAUCAGAAUUGUAUGCUUAUGAAAAUCCGUUCCCUUCUUUGGCAGCAGUCACAUAAGCUGUCCCUUCUUGUCUAGUUCAUGGCUAAAACAAUGAAGUUUUUGCUUAUUUUGACUUUUGUUUUGUCACAAUUACAUAGCUCUCUGGACCAUCAAAUAUUUUACCACAAAGAACGCACAAAUUUCUAGUACAACAAACACGUAGAAAAAAUAGAAACUGAACUAUUUGAGAUCAUUACAUAAAUACUAACAGAAAGAACAUAUGACUGUUUCUUUACAGGUCACCUUUAAUGUAGAUGCAUUUUAUAAAUUCAGCAGUUUUUAUUGCUGGUUAGAUUGCAAAAUGUAUCAUUUAAUGAACACUAAGUGCACUGUGGUCAAGCUAAUGUUGCUGUUCAAACUCUAAAGGGAUGUUGGUCUAAACCCCAAUUUUCAUCUUGGUUACAACUAAUAAUUUAUAUUCAUUUUGCAGCACCUCCCAUUUUCAUGCUCCUUUUUACAGACCAAACAUUUCUGUGGCAUAGGUUUCUUUACUUGCAUUUCAGCUUCAAGAAAUCAUCACUGAAAUUGAAAGGUGAAAGUAAAAAAAAAAAGAUCCAUGAAAUAACAGGAGUUUUCCCCAAAAUUAGCAAUUCUGCCUGAGUUAACACAAAACUUCUUUAUUUUCUGUUUCUUUACAAGAACACUUACAUAUUAAAAUAUUAUGUGUUCAUGUCAUCAGUCUUCAGGAAACAAGUUUAUUAUCAAGUAAAAACUACAGAACUUCAUGAACAUAAAGAGAUAGUUUCAAAACAAACACAUUGCAAAGCUGUAACAGGAAUUUUUUCCACUUAAUGUACUUCUCUGUCUAGCUAUUCCAAUUUCAAAGAACUUACAGAAUAUUCAUAUUUUCUAAUAUUUUUUCAAG